AAGGCUCGCAGUUGAAUGUCAGUGCCGGGCGUUGGUUAGGUGGACGUUGGGGUGUGGGAUCAAGUGGUGUGCGCUGCUCUUCGCCUCUCUCGCACUCUCUCGCGUGCGCGCGGUGUCUCGGCGUUCGUGUGUGUGUGUGCUCUUAGCUCACCUGGCCCUCGCGGGUUCUGUGUGUGGCGGGGUGCGCGCGCGCGCGUGCGUAUUCACGGGCCCGCCGCCGCGUGGUCACGGGUGCUUGGGGGUGGGCUCGCUCGCUACUCCCGCGACAUGCUCCCGUCCGUAACAAGCCUCCGCGCCUGCGUACAUAGUGGUGCUUGACUGGGGUGACGGACAAGGCGUCGGCGUAUGCUUGCCGGGCUGGCUUUUGAUGGGCGGCGCGUGUGUGUGUUCGCACGCACACUCUCUCACUCUCUCCAGCUGCCCGUGUCUUCGCUCGCCGCUCGCUCCCGUCUUCUCCUAGAGUAUCAGUGUCACCGUGAGUAAAUCGGAGUGCUCAAAGCAGUCGUAACGGGCCUCGUGCCCUGUGAACAGUCUUGACGGACUGACUUGGUUUUGCAUGGUAUGUCGGAAGACGACGUCGAGCGCUGGCUAAGAGGUAUUUUUAAUGAAUCAGUGGUAUAAGCCAGCCUCGACGUACUGAUUAAAAGGGCUUGUCGAGGGCAUUGGUAUUGCGGAGCGAGAGGUGAAAUUCUAUGACCUCCGCAAGACCGCCCGAAGCGAAAGCGUCUGCCAAGGAUGUUUUCAUUAAUCAUGAACGAAAGUUAGAGGAUCGAAGGCGAUCAGAUACCGCCCUAGUUCUAACCCUAAACGAUGCCAACCAUCAAUCCGCGCGUAGCACCCUUUAUGACGGGCUCGGCGGGCAGCUCCUUUUUUCACGGGAAACCAGAGUCUCUGGGUUCCGGGGGGAGUCUGGUUGCAAAGCUGAAACUUAAAGGAA
rnacentral:rRNA from 1 species